UACGAAGGGGGCUAGCGUUGCUCGGAAUGACUGGGCGUAAAGGGCGCGUAGGCGGAUGACAUAGUCGGGCGUGAAAUUCCUGGGCUCAACCUGGGGACUGCGUUCGAGACGUGUUGUCUUGAGUUCGGAAGAGGGUCGUGGAAUUCCCAGUGUAGAGGUGAAAUUCGUAGAUAUUGGGAAGAACACCAGUGGCGAAGGCGACAUACUGGUCCAUUACUGACGCUGAGGCUCGAAAGCGUGGGGAGCAAACAGG
rnacentral:rRNA from 1 species